GAUGAACGCUAGCGGCAGGCUUAACACAUGCAAGUCGAGGGGUAUAGUUCUUCGGAACUAGAGACCGGCGCACGGGUGCGUAACGCGUAUGCAAUCUACCUUUUACAGGGGGAUAGCCCAGAGAAAUUUGGAUUAAUACCCCAUAGUAUGUUGGAGUGGCAUCAUUUUAACAUUAAAGUUCCAACGGUAAAAGAUGAGCAUGCGUCCCAUUAGCUAGAUGGUAAGGUAACGGCUUACCAUGGCGACGAUGGGUAGGGGUCCUGAGAGGGAGAUCCCCCACACUGGUACGGAGACACGGACCAGACGCCUACGGGAGGCAGCAGUGAGGAAGAUUGGACAAUGGGCGCAAGCCUGUUCCAGCCAUGCCGCGUGCAGGAAGACGGUCCUAUGGAUUGUAAACUGCUUUUGUACAGGAAGAAACACUCCCUCGUGAGGGAGCUUGACGGUACUGUAAGAAUAAGGAUCGGCUAACUCCGUGCCAGCCGCCGCUGUAAAAC
rnacentral:rRNA from 1 species